GACGAACGCUGGCGGCGUGCUUAACACAUGCAAGUCGAACGGUAAGGCCCUUCGGGGUACACGAGUGGCGAACGGGUGAGUAACACGUGGGUGAUCUGCCCUGCACUUCGGGAUAAGCCUGGGAAACUGGGUCUAAUACCGGAUAGGACCACUGCCUGCAUGGGUGGUGGUGGAAAGCUUUUGCGGUGUGGGGUGGGCCCGCGGCCUAUCAGCUUGUGGGUGGGGUGAUGGCCUACCAAGGCGACGCCGGGUAGCCGGCCUGAGAGGGUGACCGGCCACACUGGGGCUGGGGGAGGGCCCAGGCUCCUACGGGAGGCAGCAGGGGGGAAUAUUGCACAAUGGGCGCAAGCCUGAUGCAGCGACGCCGCGUGAGGGAUGACGGCCUUCGGGUUGUAAACCUCUUUCAGCACCGACGAAGCGCAAGUGACGGUAGGUGCAGAAGAAGGACCGGCCAACUACGUGCCAGCAGCCGCCGUAA
rnacentral:rRNA from 1 species